UAUUACAGCUUUAUAAAGCGCUAAGACUUUUGCUUUUUAAUGUUAAGGUAAAUGCAUGGUUUUCCAGAUGGCAAGUCUAGGAAACGCACAUAACAGCCAAUAGGAUGCGUCUAAUUUGACCACGUGAUUGAGAAGUCGCUAAUUGGGUCCAAUUACACCGCUGUGCUUAAUUGAAGUUGUUUGUUUUUAAUGGCGUAGCGUCUAACGGAAUGGCUUUCGAAUGAAAAAUUAGAAAUGGAGGUCAGAAGAGAGGGAUGAGAGAGGAAAAAGAAGGAGAAAGAGAUGAACUUGACAAGUAAAAGCUCCAAAUGAACUCUGUUUGUAUCAAAGCCGGGAGUACUAUUAAGAUGCUGCACGUUCGGCACUUCAGGAGGACAACCAAAGAGGCACGGAAAGAAACCCAAAGUCCCACAGAUCAGGCGUGGAGCAUGACGCCGAGCACGAGCUGGUGUUCUGGGCGCGAUAGAGGGAGAUUCAUGAGCUGAAAGUCGUUUACCAGCGCACCAUGAUGUCAUCUUGUCUAAAGUCUGGACCUUCUCAUCAGCAGCCGGGGGGGCGGUGGUAGGACUGAAGCAUGCUCGAUCAUGUUUACGAUCGCUGCUCACUUCCCGUCAAGGCCACAGAGACUUUUCAUGCCCACGACAAAUGCUCCAAACACGGUUCUUGACUGCUUAAAUGAGGUGUGGAUGAUGUCAGACAUUUAAGGUGCAUCUCAGACAAUGCCAGAUGGUUUUAUCUGGGGACUACAUUCAUUGUCUUGCAGUUUCAUGCUUACUUGGGUCCAGUGCAUGAGAUUGCUAAAGUGCUUGGUAAUUAACCCAGGUAGGUGAGUCAGGUACAUGUUUUAGAGCAGGAAUACCAUUAAAAUGAACAGGAUAGCGAUUCCACAGUGUCGGGUCUGAAAACCCUUGGGUUAGGCUGCAGGCUUUGUUAAAGAGACGGGAGCUGGAUCAGCGAUGGCUACUUCAUUAACAUGUAGUGUGAACUCUAAUUUAAAUAAAAUCUGUCCUGUACAGAUGAAUAAUUAGACCAUAUUUUGAAUAAUUCAUGAUCCCAUUAAAAGGGUGCAGUCACAGGGUAUUGCAUUAGGAAGGCAGGCAAGAGCUGCAAUAUCAAUGUACAUAGAUAUGGAUAUGCAUCAGAUAUUAGAGAUAUUCAGAAAGGAUCUCCUGGAUUUGCUACACAAAAGCAUACAAAAAUGAGCAUUACUUAAUAUAGGGGCUAUCAUGAACAACUUUGCUGUAAACCCCUGCGUUCACUAGGUGAAAGAUGACCAUUCAUUUCCUACACAAGCUGACGACACAGACGAAUCCGCAAACGUGGUAAAAGCAACAACUGAAUUAAUUUGAAUUCAUAUUUUGUCAGUCUCAUGCAAAUUAUUCACAAUGCUGUAGAGUGGUAAGUCCAAAUGAUUGGCUCUAUUAUAUUGCUAUACUCUUAGAAAGAAGACUUCAACAGUUCUUCAUAUAGUUAAGGGUUGUUCACUGUCUAAAGUGGUUCUACUUUUUGUAAAGCAACAAAUCCAAAUGAUUGGCUCUCAUGAUCACUUUUAGAAAAAAGUCUUCCUUAAUGGUUCUUCAGAUAGUUGAGGACGCUUUCUAAAGAACUUUUUCAGUUAAACAAAUCCAAUUGUUUGGUCUGGGAAACUUACUGUAGCCUGACAUGACCAUUCCAAAUGACUGGCUCUAGUAAAUUCCUACACCCUUAGAAAGAAAUGUUCCUAAACAGUUCCUCAGAUAGUUUUGUUGGAAAAAUGAUCUGAUAGGAAGCACGCUCUGAUAAAGUGCUUCUAGCAGAACAAGCCAAAGGAUGCUUGAGGGUUAUAGUUUGGUGUUUGGUAGAUUUUACAGAAAUAAUACUGAAACUAACACAUUUUAACCAGAAUAAGUUGGGACAAAUGACCAUGGAAAGCUCAGAAAAAAGAAGCCCUUUCCUCAUGGACAACAGUGAAAUGUGGUACACUGAGGUGGCUGAGUGUAGCCAUAACUUUAUGGAUCUGGGUUAUUUCUCACC